CCUACGGGCGGCAGCAGUGAGGAAUAUUGGUCAAUGGACGAGAGUCUGAACCAGCCAAGUAGCGUGAAGGAUGACUGCCCUAUGGGUUGUAAACUUCUUUUAUAUGGGAAUAAAACGUUCCACGUGUGGGAUUUUGUAUGUACCAUAUGAAUAAGGAUAGGCUAACUCCGUGCCAGCAGCCGCGGUAAUACGGAGGAUCCGAGCGUUAUCCGGAUUUAUUGGGUUUAAAGGGAGCGUAGGUGGAUUGUUAAGUCAGUUGUGAAAGUUUGCGGCUCAACCGUAAAAUUGCAGUUGAAACUGGCAGUCUUGAGUACAGGAGAGGUGGGCGGAAUUCGUGGUGUAGCGGUGAAAUGCUUAGAUAUCACGAAGAACUCCGAUUGCGAAGGCAGUUCACUGGACUGCAACUGACACUGAGGCUCGAAAGUGUGGGUAUCAAACAGGAUUAGAUACCCCAGUAGUC
rnacentral:rRNA from 1 species